AAUCCAUGGUGUGGGCAUCAUCACAAUAGGUUCUUGUACCUCUCCCAGGUAUCGUACAUCGACUCAUCGUCAAAUUACACAAAAGAAGAUAUGUCAUUUCUAAGUUU
rfam:Ricinus communis cultivar Hale ctg_1100012358100, whole genome shotgun sequence.